GACGGAGGGUGCAAACGUUGUUCGGAUUCACUGGGCAUAAAGCGCACGUAGGCGGCUCGUUUAGUCAGUUGUGAAAUCCCCCGGCUCAACCGGGGAAUGGCAUCUGAUACUGGCGGGCUCGAGGUCGGUAGGGGUGAGCGGAACUCCAGGUGGAGCGGUGAAAUGCGUAGAUAUCUGGAGGAACACCGGUGGCGAAAGCGGCUCACUAGGCCGACUCUGACGCUAAGGUGCGAAAGCUAGGGUAGCAAACGGGAUUAGAUACCCCGGUAGUCCUAGCCGUAAACGAUGGGAACUAGGUAGGGGGGUUGCCUAUGAACCUCUCUGCCGGAGCUAAUGUGUUAAGUUCCCCGCCUGGGGAGUACGCUCGCAAGGGUAAA
rnacentral:rRNA from 1 species